UUGGGCGUAAGAGCUCGUAGGUCGUUUGUUACGUCGGAUGUGAAAACCUGAGGCUCAACCUCAGGCCUGCAUUCGAUACGGGCAAACUAGAGUUUGGUAGGGGAGACUGGAAUUCCUGGUGUAGCGGUGGAAUGCGCAGAUAUCAGGAGGAACACCAAUGGCGAAGGCAGGUCUCUGGGCCAAUACUGACACUGAGGAGCGAAAGUCUGGGGAGCGAACAGGAUUAGAUACCCUGGUAGUCCAGACCGUAAACGGUGGGCACUAGUUGUGGGAACCUUCCACGGUUUCUGCGACGCAGCUAACGCAUUAAGUGCCCCGCCUGGGGAGUACGAUCGCAAGAUUAAAACUCAAAGGAAUUGACGGGGCCCCGCACAAGCAGCGGAGCAUGCGGCUUAAUUCGACGCAACGCGAAGAACCUUACCAAGGCUUGACAUAUAGGGAAAAGUGGCAGAGAUGUCAUGUCCGUAAGGGCUCUAUACAGGUGGUGCAUGGUUGUCGUCAGCUCGUGUCGUGAGAUGUUGGGUUAAGUCCCGCAACGAGCGCAACCCUCGUUCUGUGUUGCCAGCAUUUAGUUGGGGACUCACAGGAGACUGCCGGGGUUAACUCGGAGGAAGGUGGGGAUGACGUCAAAUCAUCAUGCCCCUUAUGUCUUGGGCUGCACGCAUGCUACAAUGGCCGGUACAGAGGGCUGCAAUACCGUAAGGUGGAGCGAAUCCCAAAAAGCCGGUCUCAGUUCGGAUUGAGGUCUGCAACUCGACCUCAUGGAGUUGGAGUUGCUAGUAAUCGUAGAUCAGCAUCGCUACGGUGAAUACGUUCCCGGGGCUUGUACACAC
rnacentral:rRNA from 1 species